UAGAAUAGGUGUCUCAAUGGUGGUCAGCUCAUCCCCGGUUAGAAAGGGGGUGGUGCUGUAUGACGGUUUUUGAAGCUUGGAUGUUUGCUUGUGCUUUUGCGAGCUUGAUCCUUGCUGUACUGUCAUUUAAUAAGAACCACAAAAAAUAAUCCACCCUUGAGCUAGACGGCUAGUGGUGGAUUAUCUUCCCUAUUACGCUGAUCCCCCUUGAAGGGAACCUCUACCUGAGAGACGUUUGGUGCUCCAACACUAAAC
rnacentral:sRNA from 1 species